UUUGGUCCAGGCCCUGCGACUUGUGCACCAGCUCGAACGCUUUCUCCACGUCUCCUGGCUCUUGAAAUCGGCGCAUGAUCAUCGCGUUCAAUUCUGGAUACUAUGAUAGAAAAACGAAGGAGGCGAAAAGAACUGGAGCAGUUGCAAGACCUAACUUCAAAUCUGCUGCGGUAGGUUUGCCCAUUGUUGACAAAGACGACACGAAAUCCAAAAGAUCGUCGACUAAUUGAAAUGCUAAACCGAUGUUCCUACCGUAUUGGAAGGCUAAUUCGACCAACUGUUCAUCACCACCAGCUAGCAUAGUCACCUACGUUCAAAAUACAUAAUUCUUCGUAUUAAAAACUGUUUCGACCUGUACGAAAGGAUUAAAUAUCAAGAUCAACAUGACAGUACAUACCGCUUUCAAGGAAUUAGCAACUAAGCUGGCCGUCUUGCGAUAUGUUUUUGUGAGGUAAUGCGCGAAUCUCUCGUUUUCCGUCUCCUUAGAGCCAAGCUGCAUAAAUUCACCCUGCACCAGGUCCGUCACGACCUGGAAAGCACCUGGACUUGUCAAUACUUAUCAUCAGGGUUAUAUCAGGAUCCUAGAGCAUGUGAAUACUCUUACGUAUCCGUACAAAUAUCAACGUAUUAAUUAACAGCACAUAUGGUUUGCGGACUUUACCUGACUGAGCGUGAGGGUGACAUCGUCAUUUUGCAGUUGAGCUAUCAUAAUUGACGCGACUGCCAGAACGUAAUCUCCUGUCAUGGUCACCUGAAAAUUGAGCAACAAAUCAUGAAAACAUACAUUAAGAUAUUUUUCCAGAGGAUAAAAAUACGGAGAAGUUUGUUUAAGAUUAAGUAAAAUGAAAUGAUCCGAUCUUUCUCGUGGAAAGUAAUCCUGGCAUUUUAAUUGCCAAAAUGCGCAGUCGUUCAAUAAAGACAAUUAACGAA